rnacentral:tRNA from 1 species
GCCCUGGUAGUGUAGUCCGGUCAAUCAUUCCGCCCUCUCGAGGCGGCGACCCGGGUUCAAAUCCCGGCCGGGGCA